GCCCCUAUAGUGUAGUGGUCACACACCUGGGAUAGGCCGUCCAUGAGAUAGGCGGUGGGUUCGAAUCCCGCUAGGGGCA
rnacentral:tRNA from 1 species